CAGGGCCUCUAAUGUUCAGAAAAUAAAAUGUGCCUUCCUGAGAUACACGCUUUGGUUUGAAUAAUACCAAACUCCAUCUUUAUAGUCAAGAUUUGAAGUUCAAUCGGUUCAAGAUAAAGAAAAUAGUUAGAACAAAAUAUCUCCCUAAAGAUAUAAACUAAAUAUUUAGAGAUAUUACACUAUGAUUGUUGGGGUUACUUUGCACAAGAACUCGGAAUCGAUCUAGUAGAAGCAGUUUUACUCCUUGGAGGUUCAUUUGCACUCUUCAAGGAUUGGAAUUUCCUCUGAUGAAAAGGUUGGCUAACAACACUUCACUACUCCUUUAUCCUAUGCCUACUAAUGCAGGUUCAAAAGAGAAAAAAAAAAAACUAAAGUGUUUAUGUCCUACUAUAUAUAUUAAAGCCUAUGUCUCCUGGUAAAAAAAAAUGGAGAAAACUUCAUAAGGGUAUUUCAUACUAUAGUUGCUGAUGAUCCAACCCCUUAUUUUCUCCACUGCAGGUUUUUGGAGUUGAUAUACAUCCAGGUAUGUUAGGUUAAUGUUUGCAUGAAAACGAGGAAUACUUUAGUAUGGUAAGAAUGAAGUGAUUAACGAAUUUCCUAAUAGAAUAACCAGCUUCAUCUUUAUAUUUUCCAUCUGUUACAUUCAUUGUUCAAGUGGUUACUUCUAACCGUUUGAUUUAUAGCUGCGAAAAUUGGAAAUGGAAUUUUAGUAGAUCAUGGGACAUGUGUUGUUAUUGGUGAAACUGAUAUAAUUGGAAACAGAGUUUCACUGAUGCAAUUUUUGGCAGGGUGUAACUUUGGGUAGCACUGGAAAGGAAACAGGUGAUCGACAUCCCAAAGUUGUUGAAGGUGUGCUCAUUGGACCUCAUGCAACUAUACUUGGGAAUUUACAAGUUGGUGAAUGUGUGAUGAUAGCUGCUGGUUCCCUUGUGUUACAAGAUGUUCCUCCUUACAGAAAUUGAAGAUGGUCCCAUAUAUGCUCAACUAUCUAUGUCUGUAAAUGCCAAUCUGCUCCCAAAUAGUAGUGAGGUAAUUUCUUGCUUGAAACUCGUCCUGGUUGAGAAUAUUAAAAGAAAUCUAAUCAAAGCAUUUGGUGAUAAAAUUUUCCAUUAUAAAUCUGUUAUAAUUAAUCCCCUAUAACAUCUUAACUCAAACAUAGAUGCAUGGAAUAAUUCCACAGACCUUAAAAGGCUACCUUUAAACCAAUUGACAAUUGUCUGUCCCCAAUCUUAAAAUCCACUUAUUUAACUAUAUAGGUUAUAAUUGCCAGAGUUAGAGUUAAAUUGCCAAAGUAUUGGAUUAUAAAUAUAAAAGUCCAAAGGAAAAAUACAUGUUCAAUUCAAAAUGUAAAAAAGAGAAUCUGUGUAGCUUGAAACUUAUCCGAUAAAAUGGUAUCCCCACCACAUCUCAUAACCCAUAAACUUUAACAGUAGCAUUUAAUAAUUGUAAUUUUCUUUUCUAAAAGUCACUAGUAAAUCCAAGUAAGUCAUGACAUCUUAGGUUAAUGAAGAGACAAGAUAAAAUGAGCACUACCUCAUUUGUAAACUAGAAGCUAUUUCAAAUUUAGGAUUCCUAUUAAUAUAUCCUAUUAAACCCAUAA